UACGAAGGGGGCUAGCGUUGCUCGGAAUCACUGGGCGUAAAGCGCACGUAGGCGGAUUCUUAAGUCGGUGGUGAAAGCCUGGAGCUCAACUCCGGAACUGCCUUUGAUACUGGGUAUCUCGAGUCCGGAAGAGGUGAGUGGAAUUCCGAGUGUAGAGGUGAAAUUCGUAGAUAUUCGGAGGAACACCAGUGGCGAAGGCGGCUCACUGGUCCGGUACUGACGCUGAGGUGCGAAAGCGUGGGGAGCAAACAGG
rnacentral:rRNA from 1 species